rnacentral:misc_RNA from 1 species
AACCAUAGAAACCUGCGGAGUACCUGCGGAGGGAUCAUUAUAGUAUAUGGAAUCUCCAUUCUAUAAACCCACUCUGCGUAUCUUGUAACUGUUGCUUCCAUGGGACUUGGUUCCGCCACACCGGCCUCACGGCUGGUGAGCGCCCAUGGAAGGAGAAACAAAACUCUUCUUUGAAAUGUAGUCAGUCUGAACAAGUUUUUAUAAACGUUAAAACUUUUAGCAAUGGAUCUCAGAUCGGAA